GAAGGGGGGGGCUAGUGUUAUUCGGAAUGACUAGGCGUAAAGGGCAUGUAGGCGGUUGAUACGGUCCCCAGUGCCAAGCCACCAGCUCAACUGGUGGAAUGCUCGGACCCAUUGACUUGAGUCAGAUAGAGGAAGGUGGAAUUUCGUGUGUAGAGAUAAAAUUCACAGAUAUACGAAGGAACGCCACCAGCGCAGGCAAUCUUCUGGGUCUUGACUGACGCUGAGGUGCGAAAGCAUGGGUAGCAAACAGG
rnacentral:rRNA from 1 species